GUGCCAGCAGCUGCGGUAAUACGUAGGUGGCAAGCGUUGUCCGGAUUUAUUGGGCGUAAAGGGAACGCAGGCGGUCUUUUAAGUCUGAUGUGAAAGCCUUCGGCUUAACCGAAGUCGGGCAUUGGAAACUGGGAGACUUGAGUGCAGAAGAGGAGAGUGGAACUCCAUGUGUAGCGGUGAAAUGCGUAGAUAUAUGGAAGAACACCAGUGGCGAAAGCGGCUCUCUGGUCUGUAACUGACGCUGAGGUUCGAAAGCAUGGGUAGCAAACAGGAUUAGAUACCCUGGUAGUCCAUGACCGUAAACGAUGAAUGCUAAGUGUUGGAGGGUUUCCGCCUUCAGUCGCCGCA
rnacentral:rRNA from 1 species